rnacentral:rRNA from 1 species
GACGAACGCUGGCGGCGUGCUUAACACAUGCAAGUCGAACGCAUCGCAUGGUUUCCUUUUGGUUGGUGUGUGGUGAGUGGCGAACGGGUGAGUAACACGUGAGUAACCUGUCCUUUUCUUUGGGAUAAGCAUUCGAAAGGGUGUCUAAUACUGAUUAUUCUGCUCAUGUCGCAUGGUGUGGGUUGGAAAGCUUGUGUGGAAGGGGUUGGGCCUGCGGCUGAUCAGCUUGUUGGUGGGGUGAUGGCUUAACAAGGCUUUGAUGGGUAGCCGGCCUGAGCGGGUCGUCGGUCACAUUGGGACUGAGAUACGGCCCAGACUCGUGCGGGAGGCAGCAGUGGGGAAUAUUGCACAAUGGACGAAAGUCUGAUGCAGCGAUGCCGCGUGAGGGAUGAAGGCCUUCGGGUUGUAAACCUUUUUCGCUCCUGACCAAGGCACUAUUUUUGGUGGUGUUGAGGGUAGGGGGUAAAGAAGCUCCGGCUAACUACGUGCCAGCCGCCGCGGUAACAC